GGCGGCGGCGGCGGCAGCUGCAAGUUGGGCUGCAGGGGCAGCGCAUACACUACAAUGGCUGCUGGAAAGAGGCGUAAGGAAACAAUUUCCAGGCCCGCCGCGUCCAGCCCGAAAUAUGAGAAAAAAAUUAUUAGAAAUUCCGCGGGCGGUGUAAAGGCGGCGGACGGGCCGGAGGGAGGAUGUUAAAGCCCCGCGAUUGGCCAAAAUGGGAAGGACUGGAUUCCGCUCUCUUCCACGAAGAGUCAAUGGAACUGGCUAAGAUCAAGGUCUGACGCUUUUUCCAUCUGUCAUCAGUCCCUUUUUGCUUUCUUUUACGACCACAUGAAACUUGAGAAGCCACCUAAAGCUAAAUCAUUUAGUGGAGUUGGGCAGUUCCCAAGUGUCCAACAAGAAGGCCUGGUUUAGGCUGCGAUGGCCACUGUCAUUCCUGGUGAUUUGUCAGAAGUAAGAGAUACCCAGAAAGUCCCUUCAGGGAAACGUAAGCGUGGUGAAACCAAACCAAGAAAAAACUUUCCUUGCCAACUGUGUGACAAGGCCUUUAACAGUGUUGAGAAAUUAAAGGUCCACUCCUACUCUCACACAGGAGAGAGGCCCUACAAGUGCAUACAACAAGACUGCACGAAAGCCUUUGUUUCUAAGUACAAAUUACAAAGGCACAUGGCCACGCACUCUCCCGAGAAAACCCACAAGUGUAAUUACUGUGAGAAAAUGUUUCACCGGAAGGACCACCUGAAGAAUCACCUGCACACACACGACCCCAACAAAGAGACGUUCACGUGCGAAGAGUGCGGCAAGAACUACAACACCAAGCUCGGGUUCAAGCGGCACCUGGCCUUGCACGCGGCCACGAGCGGCGACCUCACCUGCAAGGUCUGCCUGCAGACGUUCGAGAGCACGGGCGUGCUGCUGGAGCACCUGAAGUCCCACGCGGGCAAGUCGUCGGGGGGCGUGAAGGAGAAGAAACACCAGUGCGAGCACUGCGACCGCCGCUUCUACACGCGCAAAGACGUGCGCAGACACAUGGUGGUGCACACGGGAAGGAAGGACUUCCUCUGCCAGUACUGUGCACAGAGGUUCGGGCGCAAGGACCACCUGACGCGGCACAUGAAGAAGAGUCACAACCAGGAACUCCGGAAGGUCAAGACGGAGCCCGUGGACUUCCUGGAUCCCUUUACCUGCAACGUCUCCGUGCCCAUCAAGGACGAGCUCCUCCCGGUGAUGUCCUUGCCUUCCAGCGAACUGUUGUCGAAGCCGUUCACAAACACGCUGCAGCUGAACCUCUACAACACUCCGUUCCAGUCCAUGCAGAGCUCGGGAUCUGCCCACCAGAUGAUCACAACCCUGCCUUUGGGCAUGACGUGCCCAAUAGACAUGGAUGCUGUCCACCCCUCUCACCACCUUUCUUUCAAAUACCCGUUCAGUUCUACCUCAUACGCCAUUUCCAUCCCCGAAAAGGAGCAGCCGCUGAAGGGGGAGAUCGAGAGCUACCUGAUGGAACUGCAAGGCAGCGUGCCCCCCUCUUCCCAGGACUCUCAAGCAUCGUCGUCUAAGCUAGCGUUGGAGCCGCAGAUCGGGUCGCUGGAUGACGGCACGGGGGACCUCUCCCUGUCAAAAAGCUCGAUUUCUAUCAGCGAGCCCCUGAACACAGCAGCGUUGGACUUUUCUCAGCUGUUUAAUUUCAUACCAUUAAGCGGUCCCCCCUAUAACCCCAUAUCGGUGGGGAGCCUCGGGGUGAGCUCUCCGCAGGAGGAGGCACAUUCUUCUGUGGCUCAGCUCCCGCCACAAACCCAGGAACUUCCGGAUCCUGCCGGCACCAUAGGUCUGGGCUCUCUGCACUCACUAUCAGCGGCUUUCACCAGUAGUUUAAGCACAAGCACAACGCUGCCACGUUUCCACCAAGCUUUUCAGUAGGUUCCACGAUGCGGAUCCGUUACAGAAGUGUGUGUGUAGCCCUGCCUUAGGAAAAAAAGGACUACAUUAGGCGUAAAGGUGUACAAUAUAUUUUUAUACUGUGACUUCAUUUGUCUUUAACAAGACUUUUACACCACCCACAACAAUGUAUUCACGUGCACUUGCAAAAGGAAAUCUCGGACGUGCAGAUGUUACCAGAACAAAACCCAGCUUUGUCCACAAGGUGACUAUAACUCAGAACGAAACGUGGGCUUUAUGAUAUGGUGUGGCGUGAAGAACAUGCUGUAUGUUACUAACAGCCCUUUGAAUUUAACAAAAACUGGGAAUCCAUUCGGAAAUGGAUUGCAUCAUGCCUGAACAUAAGCUGGACUGCUGAGAUUGUAUUUUUAGCUGAUGGAAAAAGUGUUUGGACUAGUACUCUAAAAAUGUUCUAAUGAUAAAGUUUUGAGUCAAAAUAGAAAAGAAAAACUCUGCAUUCCAGGCUGAAUUUUGUAUAUUUUUAUUGCAUUUAAAAUCGCUAUUCUGUGAUAUGGGAAAUCAAGUGGCUUAUCAUGUAUAUCAUGUACUUAAAAUGUAUUCACAAACUACUGUUGUAUUUGUAUAAAAUAUAGACAAAGAUCGUAUUUUUUGUGUGUGUAUAAGCUCUGUAAAUUAGCAAUCACAUUAUGAAGCUGCAGUGAUAACUACAUUUUAAACAUCCACACCCAAAGAAGCAGCUAUUUAUUGUCCAGUUACCCAGAUAUAAAAUAUUAAUUUGCUGCUAAUUAAACAAGAGUGCUGCAGCUUCUUGUGGCCUACAGUGUUAUGUUUGCUGUAAGAAAAAGAUAUGUGAACUCCACAAAAUAUAUGAAUAAAAAUUA